UACGUAGGGGGCGAGCGUUGUCCGAAUUUACUGGGCGUAAAGCGCGCGUAGGCGGAUUUUUAAGUUGGGGGUGAAAUCCCGGGGCUCAACCCCGGAACUGCCUCCAAAACUGGAAGUCUUGAGGUAUGGAGAGGGAAGUGGAAUUCCUGGUGUAGCGGUGAAAUGCGUAGAUAUCAGGAGGAACACCCGUGGCGAAGGCGGCUUCCUGGCCAUAUCCUGACGCUGAGGUGCGAAAGCUAGGGGAGCGAACGGG
rnacentral:rRNA from 1 species